rnacentral:piRNA from 1 species
UGCAGCUAACCAGUUUUUUAGAAUAUG